rnacentral:rRNA from 1 species
AGCAGUCGCCACGGUAAUACGUAGGUGGCAAGCGUUGUCCGGAAUUAUUGGGCGUAAAGGGCUCGCAGGCGGUUUCUUAAGUCUGAUGUGAAAGCCCCCGGCUCAACCGGGGAGGGUCACUGGAAACUGGGAAACUUGAGUGCAGAAGAGGAGAGUGGAAUUCCACGUGUAGCGGUGAAAUGCGUAGAGAUGUGGAGGAACACCAGUGGCGAAGGCGACUCUCUGGUCUGUAACUGACGCUGAGGAGCGAAAGCGUGGGGAGCGAACAGGAUUAGAUACCCGUGUAGUCCCUGUCUCUUAUAC